rnacentral:rRNA from 1 species
GACGAACGCUGGCGGCGUGCUUAACACAUGCAAGUCGAACGGAAAGGCCCUGCUUUUGUGGGGUGCUCGAGUGGCGAACGGGUGAGUAACACGUGAGUAACCUGCCCUUGACUUUGGGAUAACUUCAGGAAACUGGGGCUAAUACCGGAUAGGAGCUCCUGCUACAUGGUGGGGGUUGGAAAGUUUCGGCGGUUGGGGAUGGACUCGCGGCUUAUCAGCUUGUUGGUGGGGUAGUGGCUUACCAAGGCUUUGACGGGUAGCCGGCCUGAGAGGGUGACGGGACACACUGGGACUGAGAUACGGCCCACAGUACUACUGGAGGCAUGAGGGAGGAAUCUUGCACAAUGGGCGGACGCCGGAUGCAGCAACGCCGCGUGCGGGAUGACGGCCUUCGGGUUGUAAACCGCUUUCGCCUGUGACGAAGCGUUAUUGACGGUAAUGGGUAAAGAAGCACCGGCUAACUACGUG